GAAUCUGUGGGAUUUUGGGGCCUUUUUGGGGUUGUUUAAGGAUUCGAGGGGUUUUGGGGCCAUUUGGGGAUUGUUUUGGGGUGAAUCUGUGGGAUUUUGGGGCCGUUUUGUGUCAUUUGGGGGCCAUUUUGGGGUCAUUUGGGGCCAUUUUGGGAUCCAGGAGAUUUUGGGGCCAUUUUGGGGUCAUUUGGGGCCAUUUCGGGGUCCGAGAGAUUUUGGGGUAAAUUUGUGUCAUUUUGGGGCCAUUUGGGGUCAUUUUGGGAUCCGGGAGAUUUUGGGGUGGAUUUGUGGGAUUUUGGGGCUGUUUUGAGUCAUUUGGGGUCUAUUUUGGGGUCAUUUUGGGGUCAUUUGGGACCAUUUUGGGAUCUGAGAGAUUUUGGGGUGAAUUUGUGGGAUUUUGGGGUCUUUUUGGGGCCAUUCUGGGAUCCAAGAGAUUUUGGGGUGAAUUUAUGGGAUUUUGGGGCUGUUUUGUGUCGUUUUGGGGCCUUUUGGGACCAUUUUGGGACCUGGGGGUUUUGGGGUCAUUUUUGUAUCACUUUGGGAUCAUUUUCGUGUCAUUUUGGGGUGAAUUUGUGGGAUUUUGGGGCCAUUUUGGGACCAUUUUGGGAUCUGAGGGAUUUUGGGGUGAAUUUGUGUCAUUUUGGGGUCAUUUGGGGCCAUUUUGGGAUCCGAGAGAUUUUGGGGUGAAAUUGUGGGAUUUUGGGGCUGUUUUGUGUCGUUUUGGGGUCAUUUUGGGAUCCAGGAGAUUUUGGGGUGAAAUUGUGGGAUUUUGGGGUCAUUUUGUGUCGUUUUGGGGUCAUUUUGGGGCCAUUUUGGGGUCAUUUGGGGCCAUUUUGGGAUCCGGGAGAUUUUGGGGUGAAUUUGUGUCAUUUUGGGGCCAUUUGGGGUCAUUUUGGGGUCAUUCUGGGUCUAUUUUGGGGCCAUUUGGGGCAAUUUUGGGAUCCAAUGGAUUUUGGGGUAAAUUUGUGGGAUUUUGGGGUCAUUUUGGGGUCAUUUUGGGAUCCGAGAGAUUUCGGGGUGAAUUUAUGGGAUUUUGGGGCCGUUUUGUGCCAUUUUGGGGUCAUUUGGGGCCAUUUUGGGAUCCGGGAGAUUUUGGGGUGAAUUUGUGGGAUUUUGGGGUCGUUUUGGGGUCCUUUUGUGAUCUGAGGGGUUUUGGGGUGAAUCUGUGGGAUUUUGGGUCCCCCCGCAGGCGCAGCCCGGACCUUCGAAGCCACCAACGGAAGCUCCGCCCCCUCAGGUGCCGUUUUGGGGCUAAAAAAGGCCGUUUUGGGGCCGGAAGUUUUUUGGGGUAAAAAAAGGCGAUUUUAGGGGGGGUUCUGACCUUUGACCUGUGACCUUUGACCCCGCAGCCGCCGCCGGAGGAGCAGAGCAAGGAGCCCAAAAAGGAGAGCGGGGGGAGCAGCAGGUGGGGAUUGGGGGGAAAGUGGGCGAUUUUGGGGAAAAACGGGGCAAAAAAGG
rnacentral:lncRNA from 1 species